rnacentral:rRNA from 1 species
AGAGUUUGAUUAUGGCUCAGGAUGAACGCUAGCUACAGGCUUAACACAUGCAAGUCGAGGGGCAGCAGGACGAUAGCUUGCUAUUGUGCUGGCGACCGGCGCACGGGUGAGUAACGCGUAUCCAACCUUCCCCUUAGUAGGGCAUAGCCCGGUGAAGAUCGGAUUAAUACCCUAUGUUGUGUCAUGAGGACAUCUGAAUAACACUAAAGAUUUAUCGCGUAAGGGAGUGGGGAUGCGUCCGAUUAGGUAGUCGGCGGGGUAACGGCCCACCGAGCCCUCGAUCGGUAGGGUUCUGAGAGGAACGGUCCCCCACACUGGUACUGAGACACGGACCAGACUCCUACGGGAGGCAGCAGUGAGGAAUAUUGGUCAAGUGGGCGCGAGCCUGAACCAGCCAAGUAGCCGUGCAGGAUGACCGGCCCUAGUGGGUUAGUAAACUGUCUUUUAGUACGGGGAUAAAGUGAGGGACGUGUCCCUUAUUGUAGGUACCGUAUGAAUAAGGACCGGCUAAUUCCGUGCCAGCCGCUGC